rnacentral:pre_miRNA from 1 species
CAUCUACUCCCCCCGUCCCAAAAUUCUUUUCUUAGAUUUGUCUAGAUACGGAUGUAUCUAAUACUAAAAUGUGACUUGAUACAUCCGUAUCUAGACAUAUCUAAGACAAGAAUUUUGGGACGGAGGGAGUACUUU